rnacentral:lncRNA from 1 species
AAUUUCCAGGAUCAGAUGAAAAGGGAACUGGCCUACCGAGAAGAAAUGGUGCAACAGUUACAAAUUAUCCCCUAUGCUGCAAGCUUGAUCAGGAAAGAAAAGCUUGGUGCCCAUCUCAGCAAAAGCUAAAAGGUGCCCAGAACCACUUACUCUCGUUUUCUUGUAAGACAGAGCCUAAGCACUUCUGACCCGCACAGAGACUGCAAAUUGAAAGGGCUGGGGAAUCGAAUACAAAAAUCAGGUUCGGGAGAACCCAAGGACAAGUGACCUCAAGGCAGCAUGGACAA